rnacentral:rRNA from 1 species
AGCGAACGCUGGCGGCAUGCUUAACACAUGCAAGUCGCACGGGGUGGUUUCGGCCAUUCAGUGGCGGACGGGUGAGGAACGCGUAGGUAUUUAUCCGAUGGUGGGGGAUAACCGCGGGAAACUGUGGCUAAUACCGCAUGAGGCCUGAGGGCGAAAGGUAUGGGGGUAACCCUAUGUCGCCGACGGAGGAGCCUGCGUUCGAUUAGCUUGUUGGUAGGGUAAAGGCCUACCAAGGCGAUGAUCGAUAGCUGGUCUGAGAGGAUGAUCAGCCACACUG